rnacentral:lncRNA from 1 species
AUGCUGCAUGCUGUAUACGAUAAUAUAUUCAGAAUUUCAAUAAAACUUUUUUUUUUUUUCAUGCCUGACAAGCGACCACGUACGACACAGACAAAGCUUACUUCUACACUAUAUAGAAAAAGAUCAUUUCAGAAGCAGAGAUGUGAUUCUGCAACCGAUCUGGUCCAAACGCAGGAUUCAGAAUUUAAAAGAAAUAUAAAGGCCCCCCACAAGUCGUGUGUCCUGGCGCCGGGCCUGUGUAAAUGUAAGACACCGAGGUAUGAAGAGCAGUGUCUGCUUCAUCUGAUCAGUAGUAAUAUUUAUAUUUCGCUGAAGGUAUUUCAUUUUGCUUAUCAGUCUUGACUAGCAGCUAUGAUAUACUUGCAGAAUGCUUAUUUUUCACCUACAUCCUAAUUCUAUGCUGCAUUUAUUGGCAAAACAGCUUAGUCUGAUGUCCACACUGAUGCUCAUCUCAAAAUGAACUGUAUCUAAUAUCCUUC